rnacentral:misc_RNA from 1 species
GGGACCAAAUUGUAAAUUUCCCAAAUCUUAUUUAUUUUGGUUACAUCUACUCAAAAUAACCUUCAUUUACUGGUAACUCUGCAACUUCUAAUUCAACACUCUCUGUCCACCUCAAACCUCCUGUCAUCACCUUCUGGAAUUGGAAAUAUAAUUCCCUUGUUUAUUUGAAUCUAUUCUCAUGCAAGUUUGCCCUCUUAUGUGAACCAAGAAUAUAUGCUAAUGGACCAAUAACAAAACUAUGAGGAGUUCCCCCCUAGCCCAUGCCAUGGAGAUGGGCAUGUCAUAUGAUAUGCCGCAACCGAGAAAAGAUGCUCCCAGUUGCUGCAGAAAUGAAUAGACAUAAGAGAGAAGUGCUGCUUUCUCUUAAACUGACUCUGGAUUUUGGUUUGGCCUCAUUGUGAUGUAAACCUGCUAAGCUUAAUAUUAUAUAUAACAUGAGACAUUAUAACAAACUCGCAGUUUGCUGUGAACAAAAUAGACAUGGCCACCAAACAAACACACCCAGUCUGGCCAAGUGGUUGGAGAAGAAGAAUAACAGUAGCUUGUUCUUAGAGGACCACCAAGUAAACACACGUGUUGGCUUCGAAGUCCAGUAUUAUCAUUGCCAGGCAAAAGUAUUCCGUACUGAAAUUCCAUAUCCAGAUCUUCAAGUUCUACAUUAUUCUUUGCUAUUGGAAGAAUUAUGAAAGCUACAGAAUACAGAUUAAGAUAGUAGACAAUUGUCCAUGAAGACAAAACCCAAUGGAUCAAAUAUUGAAAUAUGCUUGAUAAGGGUAGGCUGGAACUUCAUGCUUAAUAUUACUGAACAAAGUCAAAAUUUUCUCCUUUCAAGUAAAAACAGGCCAAAUUAGUCAAAAAUUCCAUACCUUUUUUGCAUUUGCAAGUUCAAUAAAACCUUUUAAUUUCGCUAAUUUUAUCUUAAUUUGACAAAUUAGAUGCAAUUUUAUUUUAGUCCUGGUUUUGUAGAAAGAAAAGUUAAAAAAAGAUAAGUGAAAUUAUAGGAAAUAUGAAAAGAAAAAUUAUUAUUUAUUAUAAAUCUUUAAGAUAAAGAAAAGAAAUGUGAAUGAAAUUGUAAGGAAAAUAAAAUCUAUAUGGGAAGAAAAAUGUGUGAUCAAGCAGAGGCUAGGAGAAAGGGACUCACGCAGACAGCUGACUCCUUUUCAA